GGAGAUGAUCAAAGCAAACAUUGAUCAGGACGAUAUUGUUAAUGUAACUGAAAUACUGAAAGAAGCUUUGAGUGUCAGUGACAGUACCGUGGAAGCAUUAGUCUUCACUCUCCAGACCAUUAGACCCACGGAGAUGCCACAGUGUAAUGUACGCCUUGGCAAGAAAGGUGUAAAUAUCCCUUCAGGCAAGAUCCGUGAAGUCCAGUGUAGAAUUCGAGGAUGGAACAGUGGAGGUACGAUGAUGUUUCAGCCGAGCCCUGAGAAUCAUUGCCCGGAGGGUCUAGAAUUGUUCCCAGCUUUAGUUGAUGUUCCUGUUGGCUCAUCCAAGCGCAUCAAAAUCCCGAUUCAGAACUCGACAAAACAUGACAUCUAUCUUGCAAAGAAAACCGUUCUUGGUACUCUUGAAGAUAUACUUGAUCUUAAACCAAUCCCUCGUUCCUCCAUAAACGGUGAGCCAACGCCUCAGAAUACAGCCCACUUGUGUGCAGCUCAAUUGUGUACUCAUGAGCAGACUUUGAGAAAAAAAGAAAUGCAUAAACCCACACACAUGACCAAAGACAAAUGGCAUCCUCCUGUUGACUUGUCUCAUCUAGCUGAGGAAGAGCAGGAGAUUGCGAAAUGUAUGUUAUUCGACCAGUCAGAUGUCUUUGCUAAAGAUGACACCGAUAUUGGUUGCAUUUCUGACUUACAACUCAAAAUCUACUUAAAAGAUGAUACACCAGUCCAAAGGUCCUACAACGCAGUCCCAAAGCCCUUGUAUAGGGAGGUUAAGGAACAUGUUCAAAAGCUGCUAGAUCAUGGAUGGAUUAGAAAGUCUGCAUCACCUUAUUCCUCUCCCGUGGUCUGCGUAAGAAAAAAAGAUAUGAGCCUACGCCUUUGUGUUGAUUUUCGUGGACUUAACAGCAAAACUAUCCCCGACCGUCACCCCCUUCCACGUAUUCAGGACCUAUUAGAUAGCCUGGGAGGUUACUCAUGGUUUUCCAUACUCGACCAGGGCAGUGCAUAUCACCAGGGCUUUGUUGAGGAGAACUCCAGGCACCUGACAGCUUUCAGCACGCCUUGGGGAUUGUAUGAGUGGAUCCGUCUUCCUUUUGGCCUUUCCAAUGCGCCGGCGGCUUUCCAAAGAUGUAUGGAAGGUGUGUUGAGUGGU
ensembl:lncRNA